CCGGUUAGCUCAGUUGGUUAGAGCGUGGUGCUAAUAACGCCAAGGUCGCGGGUUCGAUCCCCGUACGGGCCAGGAUUGAAACUUUUCGAAAGUACGAUUACUGCACUCCGUUUUAGAGCCAAGUAACGUCUCUGGGGAAAAACAGCGCCACAUUUCCAAUCCCAGAACAGGGAGCGUAUUGGAGCGCAUUCUAAAGUGGGCGUGUCUUGAGAGGAAGGGAUUGAGAGAAACCGGGGUUGUUUCGUGAUCUUUGCUUCUACAUCUUAUGGCCACAAUAUAUGGCUCCUGAACUUACUGUGUGAACUGUAAACAAAAGGCUUUGGGACAAAUUUGUCUCAAACCACGUGGCACUGAUCUGCAGAGUGUGGGAAAUGGUCAGGAAUAGAGCUGACAAGUGUUCCCAGUCUUCCCCCAGAGGUAAGAUGUCCGUCCAAUCCACCCAGCCCCUGCCUAUU
rnacentral:lncRNA from 1 species